rfam:Camelus ferus unplaced genomic scaffold scaffold1171, whole genome shotgun sequence.
GAAUGUAUACCUCAAGUGGUAGAGCACAUGCUUAGCAUGCAUGAGGUCCUGGGUUCAGUCCCCAGUACCUUCU